UAUUCAAAAUCAAUCUAUAGCUCAUUUCCUGUUUAUGUCUCAGCAUUACAUGGGAAUUGUGGGUAAUAAUGUGUUCCUUCUGUGAAGGAGUCAUGUUUUCCACGUGGGGCAUGAAACUCCUCAUGGAAUUGGGCCAAAUCCAUUUAUAUACUGUAAUUGGUAUGAUUCAAGGAAAUGGUUGUCAUUUCAUGGCUCUUAGUCUGAUUUACCACCCUGUUUUCUCUGAGAAACCUACACAGAAAAACAGACCAAUCACCUUCACAUGACCUUGGGUCUUUCAGGAACUGGCCAAUCUGUGGAAUAAAAUAGAGUGAUGGUCCAGGGCACUCCGUCAACAGAACCUCCACCUAUGUUCCCAGCUUGACCUGAUGUUUCUGAAGAAGGUUGAGGUUGGAUAAAUCCAGAUGGAGGUUCGAGAAAUGGCAGGGCUAAUGGCCUAUAUGUACCCAAUGGAGACAACCUCUCUGCCAGACUGCUUUCUAGAGCCAGUACCGUUGGUGUCUGCCUGCCUAUCCUCCUACUUACUGGCUCUGCUACUUGUGGUGUCGUCUGAAUGUACAUUAGCAGUGACCUUCGAGAAAGGUGUAGGAAAAACGAAUGAUGUAGCUAUAUGUAUUUUUCACAUAUUCUAUGCAGUAUGAGAUUACAUUUACUUAAUUGGGAGAAAAAAAAAAGAAAAAACAUCCCACUGGUCACACACUGUUUGAAUUGUAUUUUAAUUUACCUCUUUAUUUAGGUUGUUGGCAUGACGUUGACACAAUGACAUUGAUUCAAACAUACCAUUUUAGUAUCAACACUGAAACAAGGUCAAAUAAAAUGUCAUAUGAAUCAUGUAAAAUUCAACAAUUUCAACCACCCCAAUAUACUGUAUAUUGAAUAUAGGAUGUGGAAUUUAAAAUGCAAUUUCAACAUAUACAUAGUUCUGAUGAUUAGGUUGAAAUUAGAUUGAUGUAACAUCCUGUUAGUCAGGUUAAGAAAUUGUACAAGUUGAAGUUUUACCCAAAUGUCAAUGUUUACAACGCUGGUUAAAAUGAGAUGAAAACAGUACUGGUUGACUUUUUGCAAAUCCAAAUGUGUUAUCCACGUCAAAAUAGGUUGACAAAUGAAGUUGAAACAACGUUGAUUCAACCAGUGAGUGCCCAGUGGGAUAGCUUAAGUUUUAAAUUCAGACAAGUCUGAUAAAAAAAUAAAAUAAAAAAUAAAAAAAAAGAUUGUCAUAUACACAGAAUCUGAUAGUAUA